AAUGCUGCAGCAUCUGUACCAACAUUAUAGACCUGGGUGAGCCAUCUGCCAUCUGUAAUAACUCGGAAAUUCUCAGUUAUAAUGGUCUCCCAUGGCUGUUGUGUGCUUUGAAAGAAAAACAUUGUGACACAUUUUGCUCUCACAUUAGGGAUGGAGCGCCUUGCUAGACCAUAUUCUUCCUGUAUGGGGGAAGAGCUGCAAAUCACUUUCUUCUGGCAGCAAUUGCGCUGUGCUCUGUAAGUGGAAAGCAAUAAAGGCAUGGAAACCAUGGGUUUAAAGCCAGGCAUAUGCCCAACAUGCAUCAGGAAUGUGUCUGAGCAGACACAGUGCCACAGUCAGCACUGGCAUCCUUUCAGAAUGCUGGGGCAGAUGGUGUCACUCACAGGGAGUUUAUGACUUUGCAGGAAAGCUUUCAGAAUGCUCUGAGAACUGGACUGACAUUGCCUUUGCAUGGGACAGAAGUUCCCAGCUUCUGUGUCAGUGCAUAGACCCCAUGGCAGAUGGAUGCCCUGUUUCCCAAAGAUGCGCUGGCCAGGACCUGCUUUGUCUUCAGCAGGCUGUGGAAUCUCACCGUUUCCUGAUGCUAGGCUCUAGGGUAGGUGGUCCUAACCAGAGUUUGUGGAAUCACAUUAGUGUCUACAUUUUCCUGCUUCCACAAUACUAAAGUGUAAAAAAGCCUGUUAGUAUUUUCUCUUGUGUGCACUAUACCUGCAAGUUGCCUCUGUUACUACAUUGUUUUGCGAUGAUGGAAAGUUGUCACAGUGAAAAAGCCAGACUGUGAACUCAGUAAGUUUGAAAGCAUACAUCUCCCAUUUGAAAUAUGAAUUUAUCUUUUUGUGAAUAUUGUGACCAAAAAAAUUCUUUGCCUUUCUAUGAGCUUGUCACUGAUCCCCGUAUCUGAAUUCUGACCUGAGAAAUUCCAUUUACAGUAAUUUUUCUGAUUUAGGUCACCUAACUAUAAGAAAGACGCUGUCAUAGCUCUAGUGUCCUCCACAAUUAAUUAAUAACUCAUAUGUAAGUCACGUCACAGAAACUUUUUGGACAAGAAAAUCUUUACUUUCCAAAGGGAAAAGAAAAAGAUGUCUACAAGUGAAUCACAUGCACCAAAUGAAUGAAGAUCUUACUCCUUGAAAAGGAGACCUGGGGUUUCUUUCACCUAAAGGUUCACUUUAAUGAAGUAUCAGAACUUGGAAUCUCCUCCUAUGAUGGCAUAGCAACCAUUAACACCUACUGGAGAAGCUGAUUCUUUCUUUAAAGGUGCUCUAGUUCCACAGCAGCAGGAGUUUGUUAGUCAGUCGCAGUAGAAAUAUGCUGAAAGCACAGAUGAGGGUGGGCACCCCUGUGAACCCUUCUGUGCUGUGGACACCCUCUCUUGCAGCAAGAGCCCUUGGUGCGAUGUCAGACCCAGCAUGCUCUGCAGUAUGGAGCAAGUUGGGGCUCUGUCCUCAAUUUGUAUGUGAAAUGUGUAGAAAUAAACCAUUUCGGCCUGACCUGAAUCCCCCAAAUAAACUACAUAUUCAUUCACUACCACACAGAAUCUCAGAUUUUAAUGCCAGAGUGGAGUAUGGUGCAGUAAAGGCUAACUUUUUG